rnacentral:rRNA from 1 species
CCUACGGGAGGCUGCAGUGGGGAAUUUUGGACAAUGGGCGCAAGCCUGAUCCAGCUAUUCCGCGUGUGGGAAGACGGUCUUCUGGUUGUUAACCACCUUUUUAGAGGACGAAAAGCCUGUUGAUAAUACCGAUAGAUGAUGACGGUACUCUAAGAAUAAGCACCGGCUAACUACGUGCCAGCAGCCGCGGUAAUACGUUGGGAGCGAGCGCUAAUCGGAAUUAGUGGGCGUAAAGGGUGUGCAGGCGGUUUUGCAAGAUGGAUGUGAAAGCUCCGGGCUUAACCUGGGAAAGCCAUACAUGACUGGAAGACUAGAGUGCGUCAGAGGGAGGUGGAAUGCGAGGUGUAGCAGUGAAAUGCAUAGAUAUUUCGAAGAACCCCGAUGGCGAAGGCAGCCCCCUGGGACGCCACUGACGCUCAUGCACGAAAGCGUGGGGAGCGAACAGGAUUAGAUACCCCUGUAGUC